rnacentral:rRNA from 1 species
CAGUCGCCGCGGUAAUACGAAGGGUGCAAGCGUUAAUCGGAAUUACCGGGCGUAAAGCGUGCGUAGGCGGUGAGUUAAGUCUGCUGUGAAAUCCCCGGGCUCAACCUGGGAAUGGCAGUGGAUACUGGCUCGCUAGAGUGUGUCAGAGGAUGGUGGAAUUCCCGGUGUAGCGGUGAAAUGCGUAGAGAUCGGGAGGAACAUCAGUGGCGAAGGCGGCCAUCUGGGACAACACUGACGCUGAGGCACGAAAGCGUGGGGAGCAAACAGGAUUAGAUACCCCUGUAGUCCCUGUCUCUUAUAC